rnacentral:rRNA from 1 species
GGAGCCAUGUGGUUUAAUUCGAUGAUACGCGAGGAACCUUACCAAGGCUUAAAUGUAGUUUGACCGGUUUGGAAACAGAUCUUUCGCAAGACAAAUUACAAGGUGCUGCAUGGUUGUCGUCAGCUCGUGCCGUGAGGUGUCAGGUUAAGUCCUAUAACGAGCGCAACCCCUGUUGUUAGUUGCCAGCGAGUCAUGUCGGGAACUCUAACGAGACUGCCAGUGCAAACUGUGAGGAAGGUGGGGAUGACGUCAAAUCAUCACGGCCCUUACGCCUUGGGCCACACACGUGCUACAAUGGACGGUACAGAGAGCAGCUACUAGGUGACUAGAUGCGAAUCUUCAAAACCGUUCUCAGUUCGGAUCGGAGUCUGCAACUCGACUCCGNGAAGCNGGAAUCGCU